CAAUAGUUAGUGCUCAAUCACAAGACAGUUCAGCAGAGCGUGAAGACUUGGAUCAGUAUGAAGUCGGAUACAACGGGCUCACCUGGUGAAGGUGGGUCUCCCUCAACUGCGUAAUCGCUGCAAAACCAUGGGCAAUUGUGUUCAUGAUAGGCUGUGUGAUAGCAGUUGCAAGCAGUUUGGGUACAAGGAUGGAGAAUGCAGUGGAAGAUCCUGCAUUUGUUGUGCCUAAUCAUCGAGCUGCUAGAUUCAGUGUUUGUUUGAGAGAGUGUUGAUAAUUAUCAAACAACAAGAGUAUAUAAAAUAUAUUCAAUAUUAACAUAUUUUAA